UAUAAAUGUUACUAACAUGCAGGUAAAAUUUAUAUAUGUGUAUAAAUCUUUUCAUUUUAACCUUAUCAUUUCAUUUAAAUAUAAAUUUUUAAUUUAUUUAUUUAGCCGUUCAUUAACAAGUCCUGUGCUUUAUAAUAUAUUAAAAAAUGGAAGGACGUGAAGAAAACAGGUUUGUAAAUGAUGUUGUACAUCAUGCAGAUAGCUCAGAAGAAGAAGUAAGUUUUUUUUUUAAUUACAAAAGUAAAUAUAUAAUAUAAUAUUUGUUGCUGCCUUGUUCUAUAUAAAUGUUUCUAACAUGCAGGUAACAUUUAUAUAUGUAUUAGUUUGAAUAAAUCAUUUUAAUAAAGUUACAUUAUAGGCAGGAAUGUUUGACUGGAAAUAUAAACGAUGUUGUACAUAAUGCAGAUAGCUUAGGUAAAAAAGAGAUUGGUGAAAUGGAGAAUGAGACUAACUAGGGUGAAAAAAAAUGAAUAUUAAUAUGUGAAUGGUACUUUGUUUAACAUCUACCUGUUUCUACAGAUACAGUACAGACGCAUUUAUAAAUGGGCUUGAUGUUUUUUUGAAUUAAAUAUGUUGUAUUGA